UCGAGGACGAUAUCUGUAAAAAAAAUUUAACCAAAACACUUAAACAAAAUUAACAACUUUAACGAAAUAAAUAAUAUUUGCUUAAAAAUGUGUUCCAAUAAGUGACAGGAUAUUACUGAAGAAAAAAUCUUGUUCCUUACUCUUGUUAUGUAAUACCAGGUGAAUAAAGGGAAAUAAAAGAUCAUUUACUCCAAUAUUCACUUGGAAAGGCUGGAACAGUGUAGCUAGAAAAGGUGUAAGAUUAAAGAAAGACAGAAUAUUAUCAAAAACAGGUGGUCAUGCGUCACUGUCAAGCAAAUGAGGAUUAGCACCACAGUCUGUGGUAAUCUCCAGUUUCCAGAUGUAGUACAGUACAGUGUGAUCAUAACUGUAUAGGCUAAAUAACUGUUCAACCAUGAACACUUGGGACUAGUUGGACUAUUUUAGAGCGGUAGUCUGAGUUAGCACUUCAGUUAAAUCCCCUGUCAAUAGUAUAGGGCCAGGCAAGAACAUUGUGUUGAAGGAAAAUGUUAAAUAUAGCUGUUUUGGCUACAAACAAAACCAUCGUGAUAAAUUAAAUCAAUGAUGAUAUUUUGACUGAUUUUACUAAAAAAACUUCCAUUAAUUGAAGCUCCAAGGA